UAUUUAUUUAUAACAUAUAUUAAAUCUUGAUUUUUGGAAAGCCUCUAUGGCCUAGUAGGCAAGAGCUUGGCUUACUUAUCCUAUGCUCCCGGGUUCGAAUCCCGGGAAUCUUCAUGUGUUUUUUCUUAUUCUAACUUGGUGGUUCCAUCCUUGGGGGGAUGAUAUAUAGAAGGCCGGACUCGACCACGUUAAUGAUGCUUGGUACCAAAGGCAGUAACGAGCAAAUAGCCAUUUUACAAUUUUUAUUUUGAUGGGUACUACCAAUUGUGUAUUUUUAUUUUUUAACGAUACGAAUCAAAAACGAAACUAGUAUAUGUCCGAUAUGAAACUAUUUUAUAAUUUUUUUAACAACAAUGGAAAGCCAUUUUGAUUUAGGAUUAAACGAUAGUCAGAUCAGUCAAUACAUUUCAUGCAAUUAUUUCUUAAUAGACUAUCAAUCAAUACAAAUGUGAUACUUCAAACAAUAUUUUCUUAAAUUAUACUUAUGCAAUAUGAUUAUACUUAUUAAAUAUUUUGCAAUAUGAUUAUACUUAUUAAAUAUUUUGCAAUAUAGAUUAUACUUAUUAAUUUUUUAUGAU